rnacentral:lncRNA from 1 species
GAAGAUGGCAGAGCUGCAUAUGCAGUAGAGAGAUGUGAGUUAAGCUGGGUUACAACCAAAGAAGGAAAGAGAAUACAAAGAGUAAGUAAGCGUAGGUGGAGUGGCAUGGACAGGUAAAAUGAGGAAAGUGUUUCCCAGAAUGGGAAAUCUUGUAAACCCUUAAAAAAUGUGGGUUUAUUCAGUCAAAUGUUGGCUCUUAAUUGCAGACUUUGAAAAGCAGUAGAUACAAUGGAAGAAGAACAAGUGCUUGAAAAGUAAUGCGAAGCUUUUGUGAGAAGUUUAAUGAGAAGGAUUAGAAGGAGAUGGAUUAAGAUGAGCCCUAAUAGGGCAGCACUUAAAGACACCAGGAUAGAUCUUUGAGUAGUUUGUAGAAUGGAUGACUAAUAUUGGAAGAGGAGUGGCUGGAGAUCAUGUUGGAAACCCAUCUCAAGGGUGAAACUUCUUUGUUUCCAGGUACAGAUGGUAGAUGAAAUUUUACUCUAUAUAAUUAAGGGAGGGCAAAUCACCAAAGGGGAGAAACAAAUGAAUAUCAUGUAAGUGCGGUAUUAAAGUUACUCUUAGAAGUUACUCUGUCAUGUGAAGAUUUUCUACAGAUGAGAGACAGACACUAGAGAGAAUUUGGCUAGGAAGUGCCAUUCAGGAGGAGACAGAGUCCAUCUGAAUGAAAUAUGGACAGCAGCUAAAAGAAGGGAGGCUGAAGAUAAGGUAGCGUACAUCUUUAGGGCAAGAUAGGUAACAAGGAGAAAAGGAAUAGGAGAAAACAUUAAAGUUGACU